ACAGCAAGUUUCUUAGUUCUUCCGUGUUCACACAGAGAUUUGGUGUUGGAGCUGUUGUUUUCCCUUCCGUUCACGACAGAGAUCGUUGGUGUUUGGAGACAAAGCUUAAAGUGAGAAAUUCAUCUUUGGAGCUUGGUAUGUUUGGAUUUGGAUUAGCGAUUUAAGGUCCAAUACGUUUUGGCCAAGAGCCGUCCAGCCUGGUGAAAACGAAAACCCCGAUGGCGUAACUGAGAUCAUCCGAUAUCUUGAAGGUGUAAGUCCUGUGACAAUACGAGUCGUCUCAUUUAGGUAAAAUUCCAAGGCGAUAGAUGGGAUCACCCGAUCUCAUGAAAACUUAAUUCCGGUGGAAAAAGACAUCGCCCAAUCUCGUGCAGGCAUGACCCUAUAGGUGAUGUGAUUUCAAAUUGAGUUGUAGUAAAAAGUUCGUUGAGACUUGUGAAAGCAAAGAUUUUAGAUUUAAUGAAAUUUAAAAACAAACAAAA